GAUGAAGAACGUAGCGAAAUGCGAUAAGUAGUGUGAAUUGCAGAAUUCAGUGAAUCAUCGAAUCUUUGAACGCACAUUGCGCCCCUCGUUAUUCCGUGGGGCAUGCCUGUUCGAGCGUCAUUUACCCCUCAAGCACUGCUUGGUGUUGGGCGUCUGUCCCGCUUCGCGCGCGGACUCGCCCCAAAGGUAUUGGCAGCGGUCGUGCCAGCUUCUCGCGCAGCACAUUGCGCUUCUCGAGGCGGUCGAUCGGCGUCCACGAAGCUCACCUCCACCGUUUGACCUCGGAUCAGGUAGGGAUACCCGCUGAACUUAAGCAUAUCAAUAAGCUGAGGA
rnacentral:misc_RNA from 1 species